rnacentral:sRNA from 1 species
UAUCGCGAUAGGUCUAUAAUUCGAGGG